rnacentral:rRNA from 1 species
GCGUGGGUGAAGAAGGUCUUCGGAUUGUAAAGCCCUUUCGACGGGGACGAUGAUGACGGUACCCGUAGAAGAAGCCCCGGCUAACUUCGUGCCAGCAGCCGCGGUAAUACGAAGGGGGCUAGCGUUGCUCGGAAUUACUGGGCGUAAAGGGCGCGUAGGCGGUUUGGUCAGUCAGGCGUGAAAUUCCCGGGCUCAACCUGGGGGCUGCGCUUGAUACGGCCAGACUUGAGGAUGGAAGAGGCUCGCGGAAUUCCCAGUGUAGAGGUGAAAUUCGU